rnacentral:rRNA from 1 species
AGCAGCCGCGGUAAUUCCAGCUCCAAUAGCGUAUAUUAAAGUUGCUGCAGUUAAAAAGCUCGUAGUUGAAUUUCGGGACCAUCAUGUCGGUCGUGCCUCGGUACGUACUGGUAUUGUUGGUUUCUCCCUUCUGACGAACCAUGAUGUCAUUUAUUUAGUGUUGUGGGGAAUCAGGACUGUUACUUUGAAAAAAUUAGAGUGUUUAAAGCAGGCUCACGCUUGAAUACAUUAGCAUGGAAUAAUGAAAUAGGACGUUUGAUUCUAUUUUGUUGGUUUCUAGGAUCGACGUAAUGAUUAAUAGGGAUAGUUGGGGGCAUUAGUAUUCAAUUGUCAGAGGUGAAAUUCUUGGAUUUAUUGAAGACUAACUACUGCGAAAGCAUUUGCCAAGGAUGUUUUCAUUAAUCAAGAACGAAAGUUAGGGGAUCGAAGACGAUCAGAUACCGUCGUAGU